UACGUAGGGGGCAAGCGUUGUCCGGAAUCAUUGGGCGUAAAGCGCGUGUAGGCGGCUUGGUAAGUCCGCUCUGAAAGCCCGGGGCUCAACCCCGGGAGGCGGGUUGAUACUGUCAAGCUCGAGUCCGGAAGAGGCGAGUGGAAUUCCUGGUGUAGCGGUGAAAUGCGCAGAUAUCAGGAGGAACACCAAUGGCGAAGGCAGCUCGCUGGGACGUGACUGACGCUGAGACGCGAAAGCGUGGGGAGCAAACAGG
rnacentral:rRNA from 1 species